AUCAAAGAUGUCUUGAAGAAUGGAAGAAGUGAUAAGAGGCAAAAGAGGUAAUCUGAUUUUCGAAACUUAUGUUUUUGCAAAACUGAUCUACAU